rnacentral:rRNA from 1 species
UACGUAGGGAGCAAGCGUUGUCCGGAAUCAUUGGGCGUAAAGCGCGCGUAGGUGGCCCCAUAAGUCCGCUGUGAAAGUCAAAGGCUCAACCUUUGAAAGCCGGUGGAUACUGUGGGACUAGAGUACGGAAGAGGCGAGUGGAAUUCCUGGUGUAGCGGUGAAAUGCGCAGAUAUCGGGAAGAACACCCGUGGCGAAGGCGGCUCUCUGGGACGGUACUGACGCUGAGACGCGAAAGCGUGGGGAGCAAACAGG